GUUAGACAUUGCCUGCAAUCGUGGCCAACGUUGGUAUAAUAAAUAACAUUAUAAAAAGAAUUGACACUGGAUGUAUCAAACUAUAUUCAGAUGGAGUCUUCCAUAUAAAGCGAAUUCCUUCUGACAAAGGACAUCUAGAAGUGUACACUGGAAAUUUUUUUACUGCUUUAUGAACAGGUACGUGGAUUUGCUUGACUACCCUGCUUAUAAAAACAUGGUCUUGUUGAUGCACAAAGAAAGUACAAUGGGAGGAACGUGCCUAUCAUGUAGGACGGAGCUACGGAGAUACAGCUGCUGAGAUAUUCAAAUUUACUGGAUGCUGACUUUGUAAGCCCCCGUUU
rnacentral:lncRNA from 1 species